rnacentral:lncRNA from 1 species
UCGGUCAUUUGUGAGACAAUUUCAAUAAAACUGACGGUAUAUUUUUUAAUAAUAAAAAAAAAAUAGCCCAUUCGUUCGAAAACUAUCACAUUUUUAAAAUUUCAAUAAAAAAAGACCUAAAGGCAAACCUUGCAGUAGAGUCUACUUCUUACAAAUCAACCACAUUGUUCUAUUUCAAAUAAUCACUAUUUUUGCAUUGAAGAAACAGUAGAUCUGAUACUAAAUUGAUUACUACAUAACUCAAAGAAGGUAUUGGGUAUUUAAAUCACCAGGUGUAGACCAUUUUAUUUUCCCGUGCGCCACUGGAAAUUUUGAAUAACCCUGUGACAUGUUUCUGUGCCGAUUCUUUCGACGUCUUGUCAACAUUAAGUUUCAACUGUCCGAUUGUUUGUGUGUUGAUUCCCUAGACUCUGUCAAACCCCCCAAAGGUAAUAACUGAACGGGGUCAAGAUUGGGAAAAUGUGGUAUCCAUUCAUUUGUAAAUUUUCGGCGUUCCCCAAACAUUUCUUGGAACCAUUUCUUUCAGGGCCUCUCUUGAUGUGUGUGUCGUGACCCCAUCCUACUGGAACCAGGCCUGUACGGUAUAACAUAGUAUUCUCCCCUAAUGUCUCCAAAACUUUCUCGGCACAUAGAUAUCUAUCUGAGGUGACUGUUUGUGGCUUUACUGUCCUUGUCUUGCAACCAAUAAGGGCCGAUCACGCCCCAUGUAGCUCAACAUUUAUUUAUAAGGAAUACAAAUUUGCGUUUUACCCAUUUUUGCUUGAAAUUUUUAAAACUUGAUAUUAACUCUCGCACGCAUCUAUUGAUUUUCUUCAUAUUUACAGACUUGACUUCCUCAGGGUUGAAUUUAUAUGUUCCAAUUUUUGUUGAAAUUAGUGUAGAUCUAGGGACGAGUGAGUUCUUACCCUUCAUAUUGGUCCUCUUUUCUUUUAGACACACUGUACUGCUUAAUUUGUCGUUUUCGUGCUUCAACCCUUGCGUCUCUGGACUCCUUGUGUAAUAUCAAGCCACUGUACAGCCGGUGUUUCCCACACUACAGUUUUUCCUUUCUUUGCUUUUAAAAAAAGUUAUUGUUAUAGUUUGUUUUCUUUUCUUUGGGUCACGCAAAACAAUGACAUGCAGUAUAAAAAGCCAGGAAACGCACCGUCCUUCGUGUUGACGUUAACAGAUCUUCUUCAAACUGUACCAAGGUUGGUUCGCCUGUUUUAAAUCUGCCCUCGUACUCAAGAUGUCUGCCGCUCUGCAAGUUUUCCUCUUGGUCCUUUUCACCGUUGCAUGUCUUGUGCACCUAGCUGCCGCUAACGCAUGCAUGUGGUACAACUGCGGCCCCAAAGGAACCUGCUUCGUCAGGAGCAGUGGACCCUAUUGUCACUGUGACGACGGCAGCCUAAAAGCUACUUGCAAUUAACUCUUAAAUCAAAUAAGUCAUGGUGUGUUGGAAGAGCGGUUUAAAAUAAAGUUGCCCCCCCCCCCUCCUUUCCGGCACCAUCGUUUGGAACAGCUGAGACAUAGUGUGCAACAAUCAGGGUCACUGGGAAUUUCCCCGUGAAAUCGUAGACAAGUCUUUCAGCAACAGGAAACAGAGCACCAUAAACGUCUUUGGGCGGAAGGGGGUAGGGUGUAAAUUUACUUUGACCCAAAAGACCUUUAGAACUGCUCUCUCCCUCACCCUAUAAGCGACGUCUAUUCUGAAACAGCGGAAGAACAUCCAUUUGCCCAAACCUCCAAACUCCCCUCUCAAAGACUAUAAUAUGAUCAGAAAGACCAUUUUCUCUUCAACCACAGACGACUUUACGUGACCUCCACUCUGUGUUAUUGUUAUAAUAUUGGUUAAACGAAAAAACGGAAACUGUUUAGUCCCUUGUUCAUUAAUAAAUCGGUCGGAAGUAUUAGAA